UACCACAUCUUCACACAGCAUCACUCUCUCUGACCUUCAACCUGCUACUGAAUACUCAGUCAUUGUCUGCACUAUGCUAGAAAAUGGAAAGAAAAGUCGACCUGUGUCAACAACCCUCACCACAGAUUACUCUUGGCUUUCGAUGUUGUGGCUUAUGUGGACUGCAGUCUUUUCCCGCCUGCCCUUUAUAGGCCGGCAGUCAGUACCUCCUGCUCCAGACCAGCUGACUGUUGACUCAGUAGAUGCCACAUCAGCUGCUGUUAGCUGGAGCCAGCCACCAGGAUUGGACCAAACCCAACAUCAU